CCUACGGGAGGCAGCAGUGGGGAAUCUUGCGCAAUGGGCGAAAGCCUGACGCAGCCAUGCCGCGUGAAUGAUGAAGGUCUUAGGAUUGUAAAAUUCUUUCACCGGGGACGAUAAUGACGGUACCCGGAGAAGAAGCCCCGGCUAACUUCGUGCCAGCAGCCGCGGUAAUACGAAGGGGGCUAGCGUUGCUCGGAAUUACUGGGCGUAAAGGGAGCGUAGGCGGAUAGUUUAGUCAGAGGUGAAAGCCCAGGGCUCAACCUUGGAAUUGCCUUUGAUACUGGCUAUCUUGAGUGUGGGAGAGGUAUGUGGAACUCCGAGUGUAGAGGUGAAAUUCGUAGAUAUUCGGAAGAACACCAGUGGCGAAGGCGACAUACUGGCCCAUUACUGACGCUGAGGCUCGAAAGCGUGGGGAGCAAACAGGAUUAGAUACCCUGGUAGUCCACGCUGUAAACGAUGAGUGCUAGUUGUCGGCAGGCAUGCCUGUCGGUGACGCAGCUACGCAUAGCACUCCGCCGUGGGAGGUACGGUCGCGAGAAUAAACUACGAAAGAAGUAGACGGCGNGAGACGUGACCGAACGGACGACGACGAGGGAGGUAGG
rnacentral:rRNA from 1 species